AAAUUGUUGCUAGCCUGCGUAAAUUGAUGAAAAAUAACGGCCGUUAUCUUUUAGUGCUGUAGACCGCUACUUAACCAGCAGCACGGAACGCCGACCGAAAGGAACGAUGGUUCCCUCUCCCCCUUCGUGCGGUGCCGCCCCUUGCACUCUAUUCUUCCAAUGCAAGCCUUAGGUAUCGGCGCCAGGCUCUCGCUCUUCCCUCUCGUGAGGUUCCUCCUCACCUUCUUUUGCUUCGAGCGCGCCAUCAACCCCAUCGAUUCGUGGAAGUUCAAGGUCGCCCUCCUUGUCUUCCUUCGCUCCCCUUCUUUCUCCCACUCCCUCCCACCUAGGACUCCUCGUCCGGCGCCGCUGCCCCGACCUCGACGAGCGCAAGCGCGACGACCCCGUGGUGUCCGGGACUCUCUAUGUGGGCGAUCUACGGCUCCUCAGGAACAAGGGGGCAUCGAGAAUGAGGUUCUUGGACUGGAACGGAUAUGAACCUCGCGGCGUCAAGUUCAAGAUGAGCGUGGAGAUCCUCCGAUGAUUUCGAGAAGAUGAAGAAAUCAUGGGUGGAUUAUUGUGCUCCGCAGUUGCUGAAUUGCUGAAGACGAGUUGCCAAGCGACCAGAUACUGCUCGGGGUGUUUCUUCGUGAUGGUUCACCGAGCCAUGAGCUUCAUCGAAUGUCUCAAUGUUGGUCACGCGUACCAUUUUUUCCACAAUGGGUAAGAUAAGCUUGGGACAGAGAUGAAGUUUCCUGGAGUAUAUGGCAGAAGCCUUCUAGAAUUGGAGAAACGGAAAGGGCAGUUCUUCCCUUUGUUGGCUAGAUAUAUAAGAAACGUAACCAGCAUGCAUGAGCCCAAUGUUACAUAUGGUGCCCAGAGGCAAAAGAAGAGAGCCAUAGAUCUAGUGCAUAACUGGAGCAAGCUUCAGUCUUGGGAAUUAGUGCCUAAAAUUCAAGUUUGAUCGGUCGACAACAAGAUAUUUAUUGCUAUUCAGGCAUUUUUAGGAUUUGGUUCUAUUUUAGUUGGCACCCAGUGAAGAUUGAAUGAUGCACGAUUAAGAUAUGUCAAGCAUGCUUUGAGGUUUGGAAUGAUCGGGCUGGCUUUUUCACACAUAAAUCUUCUUUUAUCGGUCUAGUUGUAUCUUGAUUGUCACUGUUGUCACCAUUAACCUUUUUCUGCCACCAUAUGCAGGAAUGAUGGGACUGCAUCAAUCUAGGAGCUAAGCUGGUAGAGCCCGAGGAUACAACAUGCAGGCUUAAAUAGUCUCAGCAUGAAGUAUAAGAAAAGAUUUCUCUUCGACCGGACAAGACUCGCAGAUCCUGAGCUUCAUUUCAUUUACAAAGGGAUUAAGCGACGGACGGCAAAACAAAGUGGAACGAGUGGCAGCGAGUCAAAGGUGUCAUCACGGAGGUCAUGCGAAGGAUGUUGG